rnacentral:rRNA from 1 species
AGAAAAUUUUCAACGGUGGAUAUCUAGGUUCCCGUGACGAUGAAGAACGCAGCGAAAUGCGAUACGCAAUGCGAAUUGCAGAAUCCGCGAGUCAUCAGAUCUUUGAACGCAAGUGGUGGAGGCUAAAACCUUCAUGUUUGUAUCAGUGUGGAA